GGGGAGCCGAGCCCCGGGAGGGCCCCGGGACGCUGGUGGCGGGGAGAGAGGGUCCCGGGGGGGUCGAGACAAGGACUGCUGCCCCUGGGCUGGACGGAGCCGGCUCCGCUCGCCCCGCACUAGGUACCAAAGCUGGGGCUCUGCUACGUAUCCUGUGAAUGUUUCACACCCUGGUGGAUAAGGAAGUCAUAUGGCCUCCUCACAUGGAAAACUCUCUCAAAGAUUUGAGUAGAAAGAAAGUCUCUCCCUUCCCCAGGCCCCACAAAAGUUUCUCUGAUGGAGAGAUGGGACAACUUGGGAGGUCUGUGUGAAGAAGUACAUUUUGCUGGAUACACUCCUGCUGUUAGCAAAUUGCUCCAAUGGGAGAACCAGCCAACUAACUCAGUCAACCUACUAAAAUGGAUUCCCUAUUUUAUAGAGAUAGAUCUUCUCAGUUAACUCAUCUGUUAGAUUGUAAAAAAAUGAGAGAAGACAGAGCACACACUACAUGGGGAGAGUAAACAAAGGCUAAUGGGUAAGGUUUUGUUGGUAUUAACAAAGGUUGGUACUUCCCCGUUUGCUCUCUGCAUCAGUUUUCAUGCUUUCCCUGACUUUCUUCAGUGAUUCUGGUUUUGAUUCUGUAAACAUAAACCAGUCAAAAAUUUCCACAGGGAGCAAACAAAGAGCCCCUUGCAGAUUAUUGCCAGGAUUGUCAAGAUAAAAAAAAAAAGUAUAUGCAAACCCCACAAAGAAUCCUCAGGAGACCUCUUCAGUGUUUGGAUUUAACCUGAGCUCUGUGAAAUAUGAAUCCACUGCUCUUUACUGCUACCUGUACAAGUCAGAAACUGCCCAAGCAAUUGGAAAACUGGUCCUAAGUUACAGGCUUUGACUGGAUGUUUCCUUCAUUCAGCUUUGGCAGCCUAUGAAAGAAUACGGGCUUUUGGAACAGCUAGUUCAUCACAUGAAAACUAUACUACAGAACUGUAUUAUUUCUGCUGCUGUGUUUAAAGACAGGUCUCUGGUUCUCUCUCUUGUAGCUCAUGAAUACUCUUAGUUGCCUAAUUUUGCUCUUGUUAGUUUGCUGGCAGCCGUACUGUUACAUCAGUGAGUUUCUCACAGUGUUGGGUAGCUUUUGAAAGCAGGUCACAUUUUUAAAAAGAGCAGUGGGUAGUUAUAGCUGUGCGGCUAUUUUUUUUCCCCUUCAUUGUAGCUACUCCAAGCAACAGAUAUGUCAAUCAAAUCUGAACUCUGGGCUGUAAAGACAAGAGAGCAGUGCAUAGAUGGGUAAUAUAUUAGAAUGUCAGUCAGAUGGGAGAUCCAGCCAAGGCAAAUGACAAGAUAGGAACUGUUAAUUGUGUGUCCUUUGCAGGCAAGACAAAUAGGAUGCUUCUGCUUACUCUCUCAGUGUAAUUGAAGGUCACUCAACUGUGAAAGGAGGAGAAUAUGACUUAGCAUGGUAAACAGCCAUCUGAAGGAACCAAUUGCUGCAAGUUUCAGACCAUGAACUUAUCAAGCAUAAAGAAAGCAAGUAGAUUGUUACAACCAUGUAUAUUCAGUUUAAAACAGUGAACAAAGAGUAAGAGCUGUACAGAGACAAACCCUCAGCUCAUGAAGCUGAACUCAUUUUAAUGGAAGUUAUUAUGAGCUGGUCUAAACAGUUAAUUAAUCACAGGCAGCAUUAUAUGCCAGUAGAGUGACCUAUAGCUUCCUGCUGUCUGGUUUCAUGAUCAUUCAUCAAUUGCUGACAUUCUUGGAGAUGGGAUAUCAGACUAAACACAACAUUGAUCCGAUCAUUGUAUUCCACAUCAAUAUGCAUGCUCCUUGGUUACUUCUUGCUAUUUUCAAAGCCAUGGUAUGGUUCUUUUGUCAGUGCUUCUGGCAGCUUAGAUGCCAGUAUGUUAUGGUUAGCUCUUUAACAAGUUCAGCUCUCCAGGGCUGGAAUGGGUAGAGGAGAAACUAGUUAAUGUUUCAUCUCAACAGCAAAAUAAGAAAAAAAAGAAAAAAAGAAAAGAAGAAAAUAGAAAAAAAAAAGUAAUUCCCAGACUCUUUGUCAUAACUCUGUGGGAAAUCCAUAUUCUUUCAUCUUUAAAUCAUGGGAGCGUUUGUAUGGUGUUGUUUUUUUUUGUAUGGUGUCUAUACUAUCUUAACUGUAUCAUUACAUUAAAUGUAUAAACUUUGCUUGAUGCAAAUUAACUGUAAAAUCAAACCAUACGUAACUAACAGAUAUUAAACAAUAUUAUUUAAAUUUGGUUUGCUUGUUUCUUCUCUAAAGCCAGUUAAGUACCAGACUUGUAAAUCUGUCAUAAAUGUUGUCUGUUCUGUUACAACUUUUGCAUGCCUUGCAAAAGUUUGGUUUCUCCCAGUUUGGUUUCUCAAAUCAAAGACUUUUUUGUUGCAUAGGAAAACACGUUUAUCUCCUUGUUUACUAUGCAAUGAUGCUUGUUACAAGAUGCAACCAUUCUGCUGUCAUAGAGGUGGGUGGCUAUACUUUAUUGUGGAGAAAAGAUUCAUGCAGCACUAGCAUUGCACCAUGGAGUAUUAUUUUAAAACAUCCAACAAUACAAGCUUUGGAUCAAAAUGUGAAUACUAACUUGCAGCAUACCAGCUAAGUUUUUUAGCUCAUAUUUAGACCAAAACCUAGGAUUUAUAUAAAGACAUGACAUUGGUUUGUAACUCAGAA